rnacentral:rRNA from 1 species
AUACGUAGGUGACAAGCGUUAUCCGGAUUUACUGGGCGUAAAGGGCGUGUAGGCGGUCUUGCAAGUCAGAAGUGAAAUUCCUGAGCUCAACUCGGGCGCUGCUUCUGAAACUGCAGGACUUGAGUGCUGGAGGGGAUAGCGGAAUUCCUAGUGGAGCGGUAAAAUGCGCAGAUAUUAGGAGGAACACCGGUGGCGAAGGCGGUCUUCUGGGCCGUAAUUGACGUUGAGGCUCGAAGGCGUGGGGAGCAAACAGGAUUAGAUACCCUGGUAGUCCCCGCGGUAAACGAUGAUCACUAGGUGUCCGUGGGUAUGGCCCAUGGGUGCCGCAGCCAACGCAAUAAGUGAUCCGCCUGGGGAGUACGGUCGCAAGAAUGAAACUCAAAGGAAUUGGCGGGG